rnacentral:rRNA from 1 species
ACUCAAAGGAAUAGACGGGGACCCGCACAACUGGUGGAGCGUGUGGUUUAAUUCGAGACGAAGCGAAAAACCUUACCAGGGUUUGACAUGUAAUCGUUUUAUGCUUUUGGAAACAUUAGCAGAUCCGCAAGGAUGAUUACACAGGUGAUGCAUGGCUGUCGUCAGCUCGUGCCGUGAGGUGUUCCCUUAAGUGGGGAAACGAGCGCAACCCGCAUCUAAUGUUAUAUAUUCAUUAGGAACAGUCCCGAUUUUAUCGGGAAGGAAGGCGCGGAAGACGUCAAGUCAGCACGUCCCUUAUACCCUGGGUCACACACACCCUACAAUGGCGAAGAACAAUGGGCUGCAAGCCGGCAACGGCAAGCGAAUCCCAGAAAUUUCGCCUCAGUUCAGAUUGGAGUCUGCAACCCGACUCCAUGAAGUCGGAAUCAGUAGUAAUCGCGGAUCAGAAGGCCGCGGUGAAUACGUUCUCGGGUCUUGUACACACCGCCCGU